AGGAACAGGCUGCCCAAGGAGGUGGUGGGGUCACAGUCCCUGGAGGUUUCAAGAAAAGGAUAGGUGUUGCAUUGCAUGACAUGGCUCAGUGGGCAUGGUGGGGAUGAGCUGGGGGUUGGAAUAGAUGAUCUUAGUGGUCUUUCCAACCUUAAUUAUUCCAUGAUUCUGUGAUUAGGAGCCCCGAACCUUGCUUCCCAAACCUUCUGUAAGGUUUCUAUAUCAUGAUGUCCUAAGCAACUUGUUGCAAAUUUCUUCUUUGGCAUCCAGACAUUGCCUUUUCCACUCCCAGUGUACUUCUGCUGGGGAAAUACUGAGACUGAUGUACCAUAACACCAAUUAGAAGUGUGACGUGAAUCCAAGCGAUUGACUGAAUUUUAGCCAUUGACUGUGAAAGCAAAGUAAGCUAAUGUUAAUCUACAGAUGUUGUAUUAACACUGAGAGUUUUCCCAGUCCUCAUUAGCAAUAUACUUUGAUAAGGGUAGAAAGUGUUAGCUAUGGUUUCCCUUCAGUAAGCUGCUUAAUCACCAGAGCUUACUGGCAGUGGGAUUUGGGAGACUUACACGAUCACAAAGUGUAUUAAGAGUAAUACAAUACUCUCUAGCUUUCCUGUGAUAUCGCAUGGAGGAAAGAAUGGAUUCAGGGCUGCUCUGUUCCCUAAUUUAAGAGACUCUGGUGUGUUUCAGGCACUGUGUGGGGUGUGAGGGCUGGGCCAGAAGCUUCUGCCUCCUUAGCCAAGAUCUUCCUCAUUUUAGGGGCGUACUUCUAACAGCUCUCCUGCAACUAUCAGCAGAUGCCAGUGGACUUGUUAGAGCACGUUGAACAGCACAUUCUUGCUGGCUCACUGGGGUCUGAUCCAAAGCUUACUCCAGGCAAAGAGGAAGAUUCAUAGACUUCUUCAGUGGCAUUUGGACUGCCCUGUGGACACAGAAGCAAGAUGGCUGUGUUUCAAAUAAAGAGGAUGCUGGGAUGGAGUGUUCAGCUAACAGUGUAAUCAUGCAGUGAUAAACUGCAGAGUUCACAGCCAAAGAACUGAUCUGCAAGCAGUGCUGGAGGCCCCACAGCAGACAGCAUGUCACGUCCACUACCAUGUGCUGUAUCCUUGAAAGCAGACUGUCAGGUGGGAGGCUGGAGAGUGGCUCUAUAUAUGUCCUGUGUAGUGGGACAUAGCCUGGAAGAGCAGAUGUGUCAGAUAACAACCCUGGCCUUCUCAACGCUGGAAAUGAUUUGUCAAAAAAGAAGAGAAGAAAGGUCUAGUUCAGCUUGAAAAGAUACAACUUUGUAUGAAAUGCCAUAUGUUGCCUGAUGAAGCUUUCCUAUAAGGUUGUACUUUAUGAAUUUGCGUAAGUCUGUGAAAAGGAGCAAAAACAAAUGCUUGCAUCUGGCAAGUCAGAGAAAAUGUUUUUUAACUGGAUCAUCUCACUGCCCUUUCUUUUCAUGCCAGAUGCAGUUACAGCAAAAUAAAUUCAAUUCACAGAUUUCUGUCUUCCUCUGGAUCUUUGGAUCAGUUCUAACUUCCACCCAGCUUCAUUCAUUGCUUCUGAUGAUGGUAUUCUGAGCACAUGCUGUGAGCAAAAUUGUUCUUACAUCAUCUUACGAACACAGUGACUUCAAGCAUGUGAAAUCAUGAGGUUAAUACCAUACCCAAGGCUUCAAAAAAGGCCCUUUCCAGGGGUCUUGGCUGAAUUUUUGAAAAUGCUGUGGUAAUUUCUAGUUCUUGAUCAACACAAGAACUACCAAAGGUAAAAAGUGUUCUGCCGUACAAGAGCAUGAGAGAGUGGUCCAGCAGAGCAGCAGUCUGAAUGGGGGAAGUCGGAACCACAGCUUAAAUUACUUUCACCUUAGUUUUGAUUUUUGCCCUGUAUAAAAUGGUAGUGAAAUAUUUGUUCUGCAUUAGCUACUUGGAAUAAUAAGCUUUUGGAGGCACAGCUUUUACCAUAUCUGAUGUAUUUCACCUCGUAGUGUUUGCUGUAUUGACACCUUUUUUUGGUACAAAGUAUGAGAAAUUGAAAAUCAAAUCAGAAUGGGGCAAGCCUGAAGAUAUCCCAAGCAUGGACUAACAACCAAAUUCCCAUUCCUCUGCUUUCAAUCCACAUCAUAGAAUCAUAGAAUUGCUCAGGUUGGAAAAGAACUUAAAGAUCAUCGAGUCCAACCACAACCUAAAUAUACUACCUAACUAACAACCCUCUGCUAAAUCAUGUCCCUGUGCAAAUGUAUAACAUCUGAAAGUCUGCAGUGAGAGUUCUUCUGGGCAAUACUCAUCUCCGUUUCUGUUAGUGCCCUUUGAAAAAAACACAGAAGCAUGCUAAUGAUGUUUGAUAAUGAUUAAGCCGCAUCAUCAGAGGAAGGCUGGAAAAAGGGGACAGAGUGAUAAGAAUAGAAUAAAACAUAGCGAUACAAAGUGCAACGUCACACACUUACUUACAUGAAGUGGGGACUCCCACUCCCCCAGAGAGGACAAAAACAGAGAGGAGCCUCACCUCAAUAGCUUAUGAUUACAGAUGACCAAUUUGGUGUGAUAGGAUAGUAUAUAUUCCACCAUAUAAGACAUGUGGAGUAAAGGAUGCUAUUCUGAUCACCUACCUUCAAGGAAAAAAAGCUAGAAAAGAAAAACUGGGGUGAUAAUAAAAAUUGUGAGCUUGCCUCUAAUGAUGGAAGAUUUUGAGUUUGGCUUGUAUGACUUAGCAAUAUAAAUGUCAAAACGAGAUGAGUGCGGGCCCUAUAAAUAUAUCAGGAAAACAAAUAUCAGAGAGGAGUUAUUUUUAGCUGGAAAAUAUUUUGGCAAAAGAACAGAUAGGUAUAAACUAGCAAUAAAUAAUUGUAGUCUAUAACUUAGGACAUCUGUAGCAAUCAGAGAGGCUACUAAGAGGAGGAAGAGACUGGCAGGUAUCUAGGUGACUUUGAUGUGGUUACCUGCAGUAGAAUUGGAUCCCUAACCAGAAAGCCCCUUCUUAUCCUGUAUUUCUAAGGUGUAGUGCAGUAGAAUUCCUAAAUGUUAAUUUUACAAGUAUCAACAGCAGUUGGCACUUAAUCAACAAUAUUUAUUAGUAGGUGGAGUGACUGGUUGCUUUUUGGAUACGCUGUGACUGGAUAAAGCCACAAGGACAGUUGUAUCUCUUCUUCAGAAGACUCCAAAGGAACAGCGUGUCUGACCAGGCUUGGUUUUCAGAGAAAGUUUUGCCUGAUCCCUGUUCAUUUGCAUUGCAUCAAUAUAAUUAAUCCAGUCUAACCUGUUCUAGUUCAUGGCACUCCUGUGAUGGUGAGAUCAAAAUCAGGUCCAACAUCUCUGACCGGGUACGCCAUUUGUUAAUACUGCAAUUUAAAGGUUUUAAACAUCUUGUGGCAAAACUGCAGCAAAACUGCUACAAAGCUUCAUGUAUGUACAACGUGAUUCCUGGAUAGAGAUCACUUCAGCUCCAUAGUUAUUAAUUCACAGGUUUCUCGCUGACCUUAGCUCAGCUCUGGGAACUGUGCCAGAACAAUUACAGUAACUCUGAGCAGCGCAGGCAUAAAGCUCCUGUAUUUACUCUGAAAUUGUGCCAGGUUUUCUCUGGCUCAGUGAUGGAAAGAUGCAUUUCUUCUUUGAUUAGUUUCAAAUAGUUCAGCCUGGGUUGGCUAUAGCAAGGUUAUUUCAUCAAAAAAACGGAGGAGAAAUAAGGUAUCAUGCAGAGGUGUCCAUACAGUAUAUACUUGCUGCAUAGAUAACAUUAAGGAAAUGCAAGCUAAAAAGGGGGAAAGCAAGUCAAGGUGACUUGUUAUCCAGAAAGUAAGUGGCAGAGUUGGGAAUGAAAUUCAAGGGGAAUAUACUUCACUUGGUGUUGUUUUCACUGAAUUAUGCUGUCUUUGUGGAGCAUGCUGAGGCCCACCUCCUUCCUUCCUGCAAAGGUAGGGCAGCUGGAA